rnacentral:rRNA from 1 species
UUUGAUCCAUGGCUCAGAUUGAACGCUGGCGGCAUGCCUUACACAUGCAAGUCGAACGGCAGCACGGACUUCGGUCUGGUGGCGAGUGGCGAACGGGUGAGUAAAGCAUCGGAACGUGCCCGAUCGUGGGGGAUAACGCAGCGAAAGCUGCGCUAAUACCGCAUAAGAUCUACGGAUGAAAGCGGGGGACUCGCAAGAGCCUCGCGCGAACGGAGCGGCCGAUGUCAGAUUAGGUAGUUGGUGGGGUAAAGGCCCACCAAGCCGACGAUCUGUAGCUGGUCUGAGAGGACGACCAGCCACACUGGGACUGAGACACGGCCCAGACUCCUACGGGAGGCAGCAGUGGGGAAUUUUGGACAAUGGGCGCAAGCCUGAUCCAGCCAUGCCGCGUGCAGGAAGAAGGCCUUCGGGUUGUAAACUGCUUUUGUACGGAGCGAAAAGGCCCCUACUAACACUGGGGGUCCAUGACGGUACCGUAAGAAUAAGCACCGGCUAACUACGUGCCAGCAGCCGCGGUAAUACGUAGGGUGCAAGCGUUAAUCGGAAUUACUGGGCGUAAAGCGUGCGCAGGCGGUUUUGUAAGACAGAGGUGAAAUCCCCGGGCUCAACCUGGGAACUGCACUUGUGACUGCAAAA